rnacentral:lncRNA from 1 species
CUGGGCUGCUUGCUAUCAGCAAAGUAGAGAGAUUUAACGGAUCUUGCCGAGAAUGCAAGCCUCAUUCCAAGGAAGCCAGAGCUCAGAAGACAUGGAACAAAUACAAUGAAAACAUAACUUGAGGUCGGAAAAUGUCCCCUGAAUAUUUAUGUCAAUGUCCUACCUUAGUGAAUAUUACUUAAUACUGUGGCUCCUUUAAAGCAUGUAAGUAGCUUGCAUUGUGAUUUCAUUAUGAAGUCAGAUGGAAUGAGGAGUGUGUAAAUCCAGAAUCAGAAUCCCAGCGACGAAGCUUUUCUUGCUCUGUUACCUUGGAAAAUGCUUUGAACCAGACCAGAUAAGAAAAGUAAAAGUCUGGAGUGUAAUCCUUCCAAUUGUCUUUUGGCUUCUCUUCUACUUCUACAAAAAGUUCAACAAAAAUUAGAAUUUGAAACAACGGAAAGAGAGAAAUUUUAGGUUAGUAGCUAAAUCCCCAAGGAUACUAAUUAGAGAAAGAUGUUGGAAUUGCCUUAAUGAGUCACUGCCAACGCAAGUCCUAAGGAAGCAAAGACUGUGAGUAAGCAAAGGUAGCCAGCUGCUGGGAAGAGGACAAUAGAGGAAAAGGUCAGAGGGACUUUAAAAGACUGACUGUGGGCUCCCUGAGGGAAGGAGGGAUGGAGAGAGUAUCGGGUCCUAUAGAAUACCUUAAUUGUUUUUAUGACUUCUCUUUUCCAUAUCCAGUUCACAUGUACUCCUUUCUGUGCAUUAAAUUGAGUUUCUAUUGGCUUCUUUGUAACAAAAAGAACUGAACAGAAACACAUAUCUAUUGGACAAAGAGCAAUAAAAUGAUAUAAUAACUGUAUCUGAGGGUUUUUUCAUUUUAAAGAAUAAAACAAAACAAAAAUCAAACAAAAAAAACCAUCUAUCUGAUGUUGCUCCACUCCCAACAGCAUCACUAACCGGUAUGUACCCAGCUUCAGCUAAAUAUCCCUAAAACACCUCUUACUUUCCAAGGCAAAGUCUCCCACUGUUGAGUCGUGUUGACUGAUAAAAAG